CAUGGCCCUAAGGGGCAAAGUAGCUUUUUCAAUUAAGGUCACAGUUAUGAAAACUUAGGACACUAAAGAGGCCUUUCUACUGACUCUGAAAAACACAAAAUGAAAGAUCCCCAGGGUCCCUGCUCAUGCCCAGGGUCUUGUUAUACAAAUAUUUACACAUGUUGAGUUUGCUGAAAAUAUACGCAGUUGACAGUGAGAGGACGUUUCUUUUUUUGCUGAGUUUAGACCCAUACGUUGUAUACGGUACAACAAACAUUCAUCCUGAUGACUACUAAGCCACAUUGUAUCUAUUAUGCGUGUAUUUAUUUUGAGCAGGACCAAAUAUGCAAGUGAAAGGAGUCCAUCAUCCUCUCACCAUCUACGCCGGGAGAGUUUCAGAUUUACAUACUGUGACGUGGGGGAAGGAAUGGUAGGUUUAGAUGUGUAUUUAUUGUAUGUUCAUUUCAAUAACUUUUCAGCUUUUCGUCAUCUACUUGCUGUGUGUUCGUGUCCAUGCAGGUGUGAGUGUGGGGGGCUAUCUGCACCCUGUCCAGUCUGAAGGAGGAGAUGGAGAGGGCUGUGAGGGAGAUGGAGGCAGAGAGAACCAGGGGGUACCAGGCCUUGCUUCAGACCCUGCAGUGUCUAGCAAGGAAACGGGUCCGCAACAUGGCUACCAUUGGAGGCAAUAUCCUCAGUGCCAACCCAAAGUAUGAUCUCAAUAGUGUUCUAGCUGCAUUGGACUGCACGCUACAGGUCCAGUCUAAAGAAAAUGGGACAAGGGAGAUCACUCUGAAUGAAGAUCUCUUCACUGGCAAGACAGAGCUUUGACCAGAUGAAGUCCUCCUGUCCAUUGACAUCCCUUACUCCAAACCAUGGGAGUUUGUGGCCGCCUUCCGUCAGGCCCAGAGGAGGGAGUUUGCCUUCUCCAUAGUCAACGCUGGGAUGAAGGUGGUCUUCAGGGAGGGCACGAACAUAGUGGAAUCUCUCAACAUCUACUACGGAGGAGUGGGACCCACACUGGUCAAGGUUGGACGCACAUGCCAGAAGCUUGUUGGACGGUGUGUAGACUGACAACAACAUACUUCACAGACAUUGCAGACCUGGGUUCAAAUACAUGUGUCUUUGAUUAUUUAAAUACUUAUUUUCAGUGUAUUUGAGUAUUUUCAAAUAAUGUGGCCCAAAUCAUCUGCAAUUUCUUAUAAAUAGCCUACAAUUUGAAAGUUUUUUUCAAAUACAAUUUUCUAAAUACCUGGGUUAAAUGCAUGGAGGUGUAUUUCAUUCAGUGUAUUUGAGUUUUUUCAAAUACAUGCCAAUACUUUCAACCUGAACUCCGUGGUAGACGUAGCAUAGUUAAUGUAGUUCUGGAACACUCU
rnacentral:lncRNA from 13 species